rnacentral:rRNA from 1 species
UACGUAGGAGGCGAGCGUUAUCCGGAUUCACUGGGCGUAAAGCGCAUGUAGGCGGUUCGAUAAGUCCGCUGUUAAAGCCCCCGGCUCAACUGGGGGAGGUCAGUGGAGACUAUAGGACUUGAGGGCAACAGAGGCACGUGGAACUCCCGGUGUAGCGGUGGAAUGCGUAGAGAUCGGGAAGAACACCAGUGGCGAAGGCGACGUGCUGGGUUGCGACUGACGCUGAGAUGCGAAAGUGUGGGGAGCAAACGGG